GCCAGUGUGGUGGAAUUGGUAGACACGCCGGAUUCAAAAUCCGGUUCUAGCAAUAGAGUGCCGGUUCAAGUCCGGCCACUGGUACCA
rnacentral:tRNA from 1 species